AAUGAACGUUGGCGGCGUGGAUUAGGCAUGCAAGUCGAGCGAGAACCCCGCAAGGGGGGACAGCGGCGAAAGGGACAGUAAUGUGUAGAUUAUCUGCCCUCAGGUCCGGGAUAGCUGCGGGAAACUGCAGGUAAUACCGGAUAACAUCUCCGGAUCAAAGGUGUGAUUCCGCCUGAGGAUGAGUCUGCAUCCUAUUAGCUAGUUGGUGGGGUAAUGGCCUACCAAGGCAUUGAUGGGUAGCAGGUGUGGGAGCACGACCUGCGUCAUUGGGACUGAGACACUGCCCAGACACCUACGGGUGGCUGCAGUCGAGAAUCUUCGGCAAUGGGCGCAAGCCUGACCGAGCGACGCCGCGUGUGGGAUGAAGGCCUUCGGGUUGUAAACCACUGUCAGAGGGGAUGAAAUGCAGGUGGGUUCUCCCAUCUGUUUGACAUAGCCUCAGAGGAAGGACGGGCUAAGUUCGUG
rnacentral:rRNA from 1 species